rnacentral:rRNA from 1 species
AAACCACCAGGGAUUGCCUUAGUAGCGGCGAGUGAAGCGGCAAAAGCUCAAAUUUGAAAUCUGGCACCUUCGGUGUCCGAGUUGUAAUUUGAAGAUUGUAACCUUGGGGUUGGCUCUUGUCUAUGUUUCUUGGAACAGGACGUCACAGAGGGUGAGAAUCCCGUGCGAUGAGAUGCCCAAUCCUAUGUAAGGUGCUUUCGAAGAGUCGAGUUGUUUGGGAAUGCAGCUCUAAGUGGGUGGUAAAUUCCAUCUAAAGCUAAAUAUUGGCGAGAGACCGAUAGCGAACAAGUACAGUGAUGGAAAGAUGAAAAGAACUUUGAAAAGAGAGUGAAAAAGUACGUGAAAUUGUUGAAAGGGAAGGGUUUGAGAUCAGACUCGAUAUUUUGUGAGCCUUGCCUUCGUGGCGGGGUGACCCGCAGCUUAUCGGGCCAGCAUCGGUUUGGGCGGUAGGAUAAUGGCGUAGGAAUGUGACUUUGCUUCGGUGAAGUGUUAUAGCCUGCGUUGAUGCUGCCUGCCUAGACCGAGGACUGCGAUUUUAUCAAGGAUGCUGGCAUAAUGAUCCCAAACCGC